AGAAAAGUAAGGAAAGUGUGGAAGGCAAGGAACAUGCACACAGCAAGGAAUCCAAAGUGAAGAGAAAGGAACAUGAUCGUUUUAAACUAUUUUCAGCAAAGGGAAAGAGCAAGG